GGACCUGCUUUCUAUAUAGGAUGCUUCAUAACUACUAUUACGAUGUGGGGUCUUGUAUCUGCAGUGGUCGAGAUUGUGAAAAUUACACAAAGCUCCUUUUUGACCCUUAGGUUCUUGUUUGUGUGUUGUGUACUUAAUACAUGCUCCAAGACACAUCAUGCAUUGAGGCCCAGAGAAGACGAAAGAAGCUCCGUAAUCUCUUCUUCCUUUGUAAACCAGAGAUUGGUUUUCCUUGCAAUGCUUCUUUAGUGCUCCUGACCCUAAAAGUGUAGCGGUUCCAUCUGGGAAGUGGAAUGUGUGGCGG
rnacentral:lncRNA from 1 species